CCGGGCUCGGCAGGGCGGCGGCGACGGCGGUGGCUGCGGAGCUGCAGUUAGCGCUGCGCGCGUGAGGUGGCGGGGCGGCAGCCGCGCAUCCCGGCCCUGUGGCGUGUUGGGCGUGGGGGAGCGUCCUUACACGUUCCAGGGUGGCUUUUCCCCCACGUCCUCGCUCGGUUUCUGGAAAGGGGGAGGAAACGCUGCAGCUUCUACAGUACUUUUGCUUAAGACAAAGCCAGGGAUCAGGAAUCUCAAAAGAGCGGGGGGCAGAAGGUUUGAGCCGACCCCACCCCGGCUCUCCAUCGGAGCCCCGAGCGGCGCCGUUUCCUGAUGCUGGCUCAGCGAACUGCACACUGCAGCGCGAAAGCAGGAAACUGGCAUUACGUCAGAAGACAGAAGAGACCCAAAUUGCAACGGUUGCAUCUGCAGGGCUGGCUGGCUGGCUUCCUCUCCUAAACCUAAACCUUUCCCUCUC
rnacentral:lncRNA from 10 species